UACGAAGGGUGCAAGCGUUAAUCGGAAUUACUGGGCGUAAAGGGUGCGUAGGCGGUUAGUUAAGUCUGUUGUGAAAUCCCCGGGCUCAACCUGGGAAUGGCAAUGGAUACUGGCUGGCUAGAGUGUGUCAGAGGAUGGUGGAAUUCCCGGUGUAGCGGUGAAAUGCGUAGAUAUCAGGAAGAACAUCGGUGGCGAAGGCGCUCUGCUGGACCAUAACUGACACUCAGGGACGAAAACUAGGGGAGCGAAUGGG
rnacentral:rRNA from 1 species